AUGGUCGCCGACAGUUGUCAGUAAAAAUAUGGAAAUAGUUGAUAAAACAUCAUUGUUUUUAGUACAACAAUGUAUAAGUACAUAAUAUCUAACAUUUAGGCGAGAUGAUUAAGUCAAACAUCUGUAAAUUAAAAAAAAUAUAUUGAUGAAUAUGCUAUACUUAAUGAAAAUCUCCAUGUCGCCCUUAAAGGUAAGACUUUUAUACUCCGCGAUAUUGUCACAAUAAUGGAACAGUAUGAGCUUUAUCAUAUUAAAAUAUGUAAUUAUACCAAAAAUAAGAGUUUCCAAAAAGUUUUAAUUAAGUAUCAACAUAAUUAUAAGCGUAAUUGAACUUUAAAGCUUGUCGCCUGAUUUUGGUAAUCUACGUUACUCGAACACCUCGCUCGUAAUUUUUAUGAGAAGAUAUGAUCAUAAAAUAAUAAAAUACUUAAAAACAAUAUUGCAAACAAUCAUAUAUUUAAAAAAAAACACCUAACUUUAAUUCAGUUUCUAUGUUAUCAUAAGUACAACACGUCAUUCAAAGGUAGAUACAAGAGUUUUUUUAAGAAAGUAAUCUACGUUCUGUUUAAUCUCGCAGAACUUUAUCCAAUUGCCUAUAAUGCGAUUAAUUAUAACUCAACCAUUAUCAAGCUUAAAUGAAUCCCCCCUAAAAUCAUUUCUUCGUAACAUUUUUUCUUGAGAAAAACCGUCAUGGAAUGAAAUUGUGUAAUUUACGUUCUGUAAUUUACGUUCCGGUUUUAUACUAACAGUUAAAUAGGAAUGAACAGUGAUGUCUUUUUUGUUGGAGACACGUAAUUGGGACAUUAUCGCACCGUCAAUGUUGUGGAUUUUACGUUUUUUACGUCAUUUUCGAUGUUUUGAAAAGUUACAAGGGCAGCAAAAUUCAAAUAUAUACUGCAUUAAUAUACCUACAGUUAUUGCCGCUGUUGAACCAAGGAAGGAUGCCUAUGACCAAGGCAGAGAAGCAGAAAGCAUAUAGGGACCGUAAGAAACAACAAGAAGGGGAAUCCUACCUAGAAAAGGAAAGACAGAGGACCAAGGCAUACUAUUUACCCAUAGCUGAACGGUCAAAAACUGACCAGGAGAAGAGAAGGGGGACGAGCAUGAUGAACCUGAAACAACGACACCGGGUGAUAAUCGGUAUAAACAAGAUGAUGCCGUGACCUCCGAAGAUGCGAGUAAGGACAUUGUUGAAGGAGAUUGGGUUGCAGUAACAUAUGACGACGAAUGGCACAUUGGUAAAGUAAUAACAAUUGAUUCAGAUGACGAACUUAAAAUAAAAUUUCUGCGACCUACAAGAACAAUUAAUGAUUCUAAAUCUUUGUUCAAAUGGCCAUUACCGCCGGAUAUUCUAAACAUGAAAAGAAAGGAUAUUCUUUGCCAAAUCAUAGAACCCAGUGCUGUGGGAAGAAGUGGGCGAAGUUUCCAAAUCGACGUUGGUGACAAGGAGAAAAUACUGAAAAAAAUUAAAUAACUUUAAUAAAUACAAGCAAAUUGUACAAGGAAUGUGUUAUUGUUAGUCUAUUGAAUUUUUCAUUGUAUUUUGUAAAAAAAGAUUGUACAUUAACCAAAGGGCUUUAUUGAUACCGUUUAUAUGAACUUUUGAUUUUUAUAACAACUUUGAUGGAAAUAUGGUAAUCUACGUUACUGGUGUUUUUCUUCAAACUAUUAGUAAAACGUCAAUGCCUUUUCAAAUUUUAUGUUACAACUUUCAAAAUAUACUAAACACCUGCAAAUUAAAUUGUCAAAAUAAAGCUUAAUGUUUUCUUUAAGCCUAAAAACAUCUUUUCACAAAGAGUUAGUCAAUUUAUGGUUACAUUUUAGUCCAAAGAUAACCAACACCGCUUGGAUUUGGUCUAUCAUCAUUUUUUUAAAUAUUUGUCUUCUUGUUUUCACAGAGUAUCACUGAGAUUUGAUUUUUUUAUUUGUGUGUCAGUCAUUGUUUGGAUAUUGUGAAAUUGUAAUCUACGUGACACAUCAAUUGUAAUUUACGUUACCGAAGUCAAUCUGAAAUAAAAUUGGUAGGAGUAAACAUAAUCAUUUCAGGUCUGAAAUAAGUCGAAGCACUAACCCAUUGUUUUACUGUAACAAAAAUAGGCUACUUAACUUUCUGACGGUAACGUUUGUAGAGUAGCUGGAAGAUAAGCCUGUGUAAAACUACAUUGCAAACCCAAAAAUACGAUAAGCAUUUGAUGUUAUUUUUUUUUAUUAUUAACCUCCUUUUGUAUAACCCUUUUCGAUGCUCCAGUAUUUAUUAUCAUAGAAUCUUUUUUUCUUUUGCCAAAAUUUAUAAGUAUUAUACAUUUUCAAGAUAAAGUUUUUUUAGAUUGGAUAUAUUGUUGAAACGUAGAUUACAAUUACUGUUUUGUUGCAUUGAUGUAAAAUUGUGUAAAAUAUUUAUCAUUUGAGCCUGAGUCGCUAAAUUUUGCACAUUGUUAGUUUAAUAGUUGUUCUUUCCGAAAACGAAACAGAUAAAUCAAUUAAAAGGUUUUAACUUU